UACGUAGGGAGCAAGCGUUGUCCGGAAUCAUUGGGCGUAAAGCGCGCGUAGGCGGCCCGAUAAGUCCGCUGUAAAAAGUCAACGGCUCAACUGUUGAAAGCCGGUGGAUACUGUCGGGCUAGAGUACGGAAGAGGCAAGUGGAAUCCUGGUGUAGCGGUGGAAUGCGCAGAUAUCAGGAGGAACACCCAUAGCGAAGGCAGCUUGCUGGGACGUUACUGACGCUAAGGCGCGAAAGCGUGGGGAGCGAACAGG
rnacentral:rRNA from 1 species